rnacentral:tRNA from 7 species
GGACCUAUAGCUCAAUGGUUAGAGCAACCGGCUCAUAACCGGUCGGUUACAGGUUCGAGUCCUGUUGGGUCCACCA